AUUGAACGCUGGCGGAAUGCUUUACACAUGCAAGUCGAGCGGCAGCGCGGCCUUCGGGCUGGCGGCGAGCGGCGAACGGGUGAGUAAUGCAUCGGAACAUGCCCAGUCGUGGGGGAUAACACUUCGAAAGAAGUGCUAAUACCGCAUACGUCCUGAGGGGGAAAGCGGGGGAUCGCAAGACCUCGCGCGAUUGGAGUGGCAGAUGUCAGAUUAGCUAGUUGGUGGGGUAAAGGCCUACCAAGGCGACGAUCUGUAGCUGGUCUGAGAGGAUGAUCAGCCACACUGGGACUGAGACACGGCCCAGACUCCUACGGGAGGCAGCAGUGGGGAAUUUUGGACAACGGGGGCAACCCUGAUCCAGCCAUUCCGCGUGAGUGAAGAAGGCCUUCGGGUUGUAAAGCUCUUUCGGCAGGAACGAAACGGUGGGCUCUAACAUAGUCCGCUAAUGACGGUACCUGAAGAAGAAGCACCGGCUAACUACGUG
rnacentral:rRNA from 1 species